UCAAAGUGCUGGGAUUACAAGCAUGAGCCACCGCGCCCAGCCUAUAGCCUUUUAUAAUUGUUUUUCCAACCCCCAAAUCAGCAUCCAUGACUACAUAAACUUUUUGGCCGUUUGACCAAAUGGGGACAUCUGGCAUACUGCUAUCAACCAAUAUGUAGUUGAAAAUUAAGCUCAGGGUCUGAGUUCUGGGAUGUUCACCAGUACCAAGGAGUCAGAAUGGAGGCCCUGUGUUAGAUGCUGCACAAAGAUGAAUAAGUGUGAACAGCUGUCAACUAUUCCAAAGUUGUAGCUGCUACAGCUGCUAUAAAAGGCAGCGAGUCUGAGGCUGCCCCAGGAAUCAGGAGGUGUUGUAUAAGAGGAGAACUUAGCUCUGAAUGGACUAGUAUACCUGAUCACCAGCAGCAGUUAAAAGAAGUGACUUUCACUCUCCGGCAUGAUUCUGAGGCCUCCCC
rnacentral:lncRNA from 1 species